ensembl:snoRNA
UGAAUUUGUUAAUGAUUAAGUCUGUGUUGUUAGGGACAUCUGAGAUGUGAUGAACUGCCAGGGGAAAUUUCAAGACAGUCCAACAUUCA